UUGUGCAUAUAUAAAAAUUAAAUUCAAAUUAAUUAAUUUAUUAAUUUUACUUUUAAAUCCUAAAAAUUUAAUUUUUUUUUAAAAAAAAAUUUUUAAAUGCAACUCAUUUUAAUCUUUAAAAUACUACAUAUUGAUCUGAAAUAAUUUUUAAUAAAAUAUUUUAAAUAAAAUAAUUUUAUUUAUUUUUUUAACGAACAUACAUAAAUUAAUAUUUAAAGUUUAAUUUAACGUGGAUUAUCAAUUAUUAAACAAGUUUCCCUAAAUAAAUUUAUAUACUGCCAUAUUUAAAUAUUUCAUUAAUUUAAUAAAAUAUUAAUAAAUUUAAUUUUAAUACUAGGGUAUCUAAUCCUAGUUUAAN
rnacentral:rRNA from 1 species